ensembl:lncRNA
GGGAACCUGGCAUCCCCGAGGUCGGGAGGACGGGGUGGGGCUGCGGACAGGAGAGAUGGACGCCCGAGCGAGCCUUGAACCGAAAGUGAACCCCGGGAGCACCGACCUCCUGUAGUCCGGGGCUUUCUCUCUGAAGCCAAAAAUACCCCGGGUCAUAGUUUGCUUUUUCUUUUCUAAGUAGCCAUAUUUACAUAAAUCCCCACUGGAAAUUUCCACCUUUCAAGACUGACCGCUGUUUUUGGUGUUUCCAGAGGCUAAAUGAAGUCAGGGGAUUUUUACAAGUUGAAGUGACCCUCCCCCUCUGCCCAGGCAGAGAGAUGAGUUUGCUAACCCUCCCCUCCUCUAACCCCAGGCCAGCUGUGCCUAUCAAAGUACCCAGAGGGCUGGGCUGGGGGUCCCCAGGGAUGGGGCUGUGGUCCUGGAGUGGGGAAGUGGACCCCCAGGAGUGGGCAACCCCUCAGCCCUCAUCCCUGGGUAUUUCACCACCAAAGUUAAGCUCUAUCUUCAGAGUUCCCCACUUCCUCCUUUCCUUCCUUGGAAAUUCGGUUGCAAAUAUCACUACAUGGUGUAACCUUUAAAGAAAUGCUCCCCUUUUACCACAAAGACAAGAGAUGCUCAGUGUUGUGAGAGAACACACAAUUAGGCCUUGGGGAUUUUUAAGUCAACAUUAUAUGUACAAAAUCUACCCAAAAAGGAGAAAGCAGCUUAUCAAAACUGCCAACGGACUCAGAACUCUUAAUAGCACCUGAAACAAGACGCAAGGAGGGUGGGCACAACCUUUGGAAGAUACAGCCAUGAGGACACACCAGAAACUGGCUAGAACCAAGUAGGUCCAAGAUGGCGGAAGAUCCAACCUCCAGCGGACCAUGAGCCUCUCCAUAUGCUCAUUGUAAUAUGCACGCAUUAUGUGCAUUAUGCACUUAUGUGCUCAUG